rnacentral:tRNA from 1 species
UAACCCGUAGACCAGCGGGCCUUCGGCCUGGCUGGGCGGAAGUCCCGGGUUCGAAUCCCGGCGGGCCCGCCA